UGACAUCCACACCUAUGGGGACCAGCUGGUC
rnacentral:piRNA from 1 species